rnacentral:rRNA from 1 species
UACGUAGGGGGCAAGCGUUGUCCGGAUUUAUUGGGCGUAAAGAGCUCGUAGGCGGUUUGGUAAGUCGGAUGUGAAAUCUCCAGGCUCAACCUGGAGGGGUCAUUCGAUACUGCCGUGACUAGAGUUCGGUAGGGGAGUGUGGAAUUCCUGGUGGAGCGGUGAAAUGCGCAGAGAUCAGGAGGAACACCCGUAGCGAAGGCGGCACUCUGGGCCGAUACUGACGCUGAGGAGCGAAAGCGUGGGGAGCGAACAGG